rnacentral:misc_RNA from 1 species
UUAGAUUUACUUUUAUUGCCUUUUGUUUAACUCUAGAACUCCGCAUAUAUCAAUAGUUGUAUGUAUUUUUCUAUACGAGUUGUAAUUACUUAAAUUUAUAGAGUUGUAAAACUAAUUAUGUGAGAUUGUAUAGAUGCAUGUAAUAUUUACUAAUGUUGAUGGAGGAAGCUGAGCUCUCAAAUGUUAAUUUAUCUAUUUUAAGAAUUGUGAG